AAGCCCUGAGGUGGAAUACCAUAUUGAAUUGCAAGUUCAAAGAAGCAGCUUCAACCCUGCCGGGGCUU
rnacentral:tRNA from 1 species